CUCCCGGUUCCAGCCCCCACUCUAUUUUUCUCCUCUACCUCUUGCUGCCGAUUUCUCUGAACAAAUUAGUAAUCAAUGGUAUAUGGAUCUCAUGACGCCCAUCUUGUGGUGAAUUAAUCUCGUGGUUGAACCUUUUGAUAGUAUAGUGGUCAGUGGUGAACGUCCAUCUAGCAUCGCAAGUCCACCCCUCAUCAUGUCAUUUUGCUAUGCAGAUGCAAGAAAGGGUUGGGGUGCUGCCUAUGGGAGUGAUUAUGUGCGAGCUAAAUCUGGUCUUGUGUAAUGCAAGACUAUGAUGGAGAGGGACCUCCUGUGAGAGGCACAUGACGAUGCAGAUGUCUUGCAUCUGUGCCCAACAACUGUUUAUGUUUAAACCUGAAUAAAAACUGCUUUGUGUAGUGUUACGGCUGAGGAUUUAAUUUGCUUUCCCUUGCCCAAAUCUUGCAUGAACUUUGUUACCUAACAUGUUAUCACAUGCUUUUCUUAAUGCAGGCAAUAAUUGCUAUUGGUUGCCUAUUAGAUGCUUCCGUUGAUGCAUUAUAGAACUGAAUUGGUAGCAUUGGUUGCCUAUUAGAUGCUUUUUUGUAGAUAUUUAUUUUAUUUAUUGUGAGAGCCGAGAACAUUUGUGUCAAAGUUUUCUGAGUCUCCACGCCACUGUCUCCUUCCACUGGAACUUAGGCGCUCCUCCCGCCGCCGUGUAUUUAGAGGUAAAGGAACAAGCACUCAGAUGUGAUGUUACUGUAAUGUGAAUUCUAACAAGUAUUCUCUUUUCUGAAUUUUUUCUGAUAAUUCAGUGCCUCUUUUAUCUGUAUAAUUUCGUUUUCUGACAAACUGGAUUGCACUUCAUGUGCAGAAUUUGGGUUAAUGUGCUGGAACACGGACAUACCUUUUCGCAGAUCCCUAUGUUUUUGUAGAGUUAUAGGUACCAUAGGCAAUUCAUUUUCACGACGAUGCUUGGCUGAUAUAUGCAUAGCAAAGGGAAAUAGGAGCACGGUUUAUUGGCACAGUUCAUUAGUGUUGCAUAAUUCAGGGAUUUUAGCAAGUUAGGUGGUCAAUUUUAAGUUGUUUUUUUUACUAAAUGGUUAAAUUGAUACUGAUUUUCAUUAACUUGAUUGUUCAUCGUGCUUAAGCUGGUUAUAAAAAAUAAAUAAGUUUUUUUUCCUUUUUAUGGUUCAACAUGCUUAUGUUGCAUACUGUUUUUACUGAGUUGUUUGUUCAACAUGGUUAAGUUGUGUACUACAUAUAGAUAAGCUUGACUUCACAUCAUGAUUUUUUUGGAUUGAUUUUAACAUCUAAUUUAGUUUAGAUAUUUAGCAACAUCCUUUUCAGUUGCAUACUGAUUUGAACGAGUUGUUUUUCCAACUUUGCUUGAAUUUGAGUUCAACUAAAUGUGCCGCAGUAAAAUGAUUUAAUUAAGUUUCCUUUUUUAUCAUCAUCUUUUUUUAGUUUACCACUGAAUUGAAUUAAGCUUGCUUCUAUCAGCAUAGUUAAGUUGUGCCAUCUUCUAACUAAGUUUGUUUAGAUACCAUGCUACUAGAAAAUAGUAACAUACUGGAUUUACCAAGUUCCAAGUGCUAAAAAGUGCUUGAAUGCUAUUUGUCCAACUAACCACUCGGUUAUGGACCGUCCAUGCAUCCUGGACGAGGCGAUCGCACGCCGCGUCCCGACCGACGUCCCGACAGAAACCAUCUGGCUCCGACCAAAGUCAACAAAUCCCACCUGUGUACGGGUCGUAACACCCCCUUCUCUCUCCCCAGAGCCAUCCCCAUUUCUCUGUCCCGCGGUAAUUUCGUCGGCGGAGAGGGGGUGGGUGCGAGGGAGCAGGCGUUGAGCUCGUUGGAGAAGCGUUAGUCAUUCUGUAGCUAUAUAGUAAUUCUUACUAUUAUUGUGUUCAUCUGUGUUGAGUGAGAAAUAUAAAGUUAAAUGUGAUUGGUUUAUACGACAAUAAAAGUUGCAAUAGCUACCAGAUUGUUGUCCCUUUUUCACUGCCCCUUUUUGUAAGAAUGCGAGCUUGAGGCUUUGAUGAUAUUUGCUCUUUUUGUGUGGGGGGAAUUGUUUUGCUUUGAUUCACUGUCGCUUUUCCCAAUUAAGUUGCCUUUUUUACCCUAGUUAAGUUGCUUUUCAGCUUAAAACUAAGUUGAUAGCUAGAUUCUCCUAAGUUCUUAUCAUGUUUCAUUAAUUUGACUGGACAUAUAGAUUAAGCCAAGUUGAUUAUCAUGUUUCUUAGGUUGAUUAACCACUUCAGAUUAAGUUGCUUUACACUUUUCUCCGAAGUUGCGUACCCUGUUUCAUUAAGUUGAUCAAUGACUUUAGCUUAUGUUGCUUUACACUAAGUCCUAAAUCGAUUAUCUCAUUUCAUUAAGUUGAUUAACGACUUUAGCUUAAUUUGUUUUCUAGAUUAUCUUAUUUACUAUCACUUUUAAUUAAAUUGAUUAGCCUCUUUAGCUUAAGUUUCUCCCCACUUUUAAACUAAGUUGCUUAUCCCAUUUAGUUAGGUUGAUUCACUUUAUCUUAACCUUCUUCCCACUUUACCCUAUGUUGCUUCUCUCAUUUAAUUAAGUUACUUUGUCACUUUAUUUUAAGUUUAUUCCGACAUUAUCCUAAGUUGCAUAUCCUGUUUCAUUAAGUUGAUUAUCCAUUUCGGCUUAAGUUGCUUUUAAACUUUUACCUAAGUUGCUUAUCCCUUUGAAUUAAGUUGAUUGGCUACUUUAGCAUAAAUUUAUUCCCACUUUAUCAUAAUUAAGUUGAUUAGUUACUUUACCAUAAGUUGCUUUUCCAAUUUACCCUAAGAUGCUUAUCGCUUGCUUGCUAUUGCUGUGUUCGUUUCGAUUAGGCAGACAUAUCACAAACUGCUUACCCAUGUACUUAGGAAGUUGUUUUUUAAUUUCCCAUUAUCUCAAUGUGAUGUUUUGGUCACACCCUUUGGAUGUGCCUUUAUUUGUUUUGUAACAUGGUAUUUUUUUAGUUUCACGUGUGCAAUGUCCAUCGAGGGCGAGGUGUUUUUUUUACUUCCAUCAUCUUCUAUAUUAAUUAAGUUGCUUUUGAAAAAAUGCAUAAGUUACUUUUGUUGUCUCACUAAGCUGGUUCUAUCAUCCAAACUAAGUUGAUUACAGUCGAUGAUUUAGCCUGUUAGCAUGCCUCACUUUCUCUAUAAUCUCCCUAAGUUACUUUUUGUCAACAUUCUUUAAGUUUUUGAGUUACACCAAAAUGCCCCUAAGUAGCAUACCAAUUUAAUUAAGUUGCUUCUUGUCAUCCUUCUAAGUUGCUUUCUGAGACUAAAGAAGUUGUUUUACAUAACCUAACUAAGUUUCUUUCCACCAUGCAUUUAAUUUUUGGUUAAACAACCAAUAGUGUUCCUUAGCUUAAUAAUGAUUUUAAUUAGGAACUUAUUUUUCUAGCACACAAACUUGAAAUCUGAUAACACAGAAAAUAACAAAAGAGGCGAACAAGCGUUCUCGCUUCCGUUUACCAGAAGUUGAUGCAGCAGCAGGGAAUCGUCGAGGGCCUCGUCCGGAAACUUACCAGCAGGUGCUUAUUUGUGAUAUUGCUAAGUUGCACCGGGAAGCUAUGGAUCCUGGGCAGUGUAGGUAGUACCAUCUCCAGCGCCAUAGUGGAGGAGGCCAUGGCGCCUAGCUUGAGGAGGUGGCGGCGCCCACAAUUCCUAUCGCGAGCGCAAGCCUGCCGUGGCUGCUGGCCGACGAGAAGAUCGUGUGUUGUUUUGUGAUCUACUCGCACUUUUCAGUUAAAUCUAGAUUCCGUGGAGUUUUGGAAGAGAAAGAAGACAUGGAGUAGUCCGUCUUGCAGAAAGGAAGAAAUUCUAGAGUAACUUGUCUUGCAGAAGAGCCGGAGUAGUUUGUCACAACAUUGAUGUCUGCUGUUUUUUACCUUACGUGUAACAUCCCCUUUUCUUAUUUGGAUGCUAUACAAACAUUGUUUUUACCUUACGUGUAUUUUCUUGUCUUUAUCUUA